UACUGCAGUCUUCCUUUGGAAUGUUGACUGCUAAUUUUUCUGAGCUUGUUCAUUUUUAAUUACUUAUGAUUAUGAUGUAUUAUUCUUGAAAAGAAGCAUAUGUUGGAGCUAGUGAGACUUAGAUGUGGUGUUUUAAAGACCAAAACCAGAAGCGUGAUGUAACCGUGAUUUGUUCAAUAUAUUGUAAGAUGUAGUUUUAGUAUAACUCAUUUACAUAACGUCACAACAUAGGGAACAUUCUCAGGUAAGACGGCGAGUGUAGUGAUGGGCUCAUUAUUUCAAUAGAGCUCGGUAUUUCAAGAGAAUAUUGCAACUGUUAAGAUGCUGCUCCUUUCAAGCAGGAUGAUCACAAGAUUUAUAUAUGACUUAGUUUUUUCUAGGCCAGUCCGUAAAGCCCAAUAAGAAUUCUUUGGUUUCUUUCAUUUCUUACAUUUAUUGUUUGUCCUUCACUCCUCACUCUAAUUAUUAUAUUAUUUGACUAAAAGGGGCUUUGCCUAUAAGCUCUGUGAUUUUAAAUAUUACAUUUCUCUUUUUUAAUAUUAAAAUUUUGUCAUUUUUUAUUUAUUAUUAUUGCUUUUUCUGCUGUUCUUGUGAGAUAUAAUGUUUGUUGCUAAUUCUAUAUGACUGAUUUUCCAGAAUUUUGGUUCAAGAACAGACACGGUUUUCUGUGGCGUUUUUGAUGGCCAUGGUCCAUAUGGUCAUAUGGUUGCAAAGAGGGUGAGGGAUUCCCUUCCCCUAAAACUGAGUGCACACUGGGAAGUCAAUAUCAAUGAGGAUGUACUCAAAGAGAUCAGCCUUAACACCACCGGAAGCAUGAACUCCGAAGAUACUGCCUUCAUAUCUGCCGAUGAGGAAUCCAGGCCCUCUAUUGAUCUUGAAGAAACAGAAAAGCAGCCUGAGAUCUUUCAGGCACUGAAAGAAUCAUUUCUGAAGGCUUUCAAAGUCAUGGACAGGGAGCUGAGAAUGCAUACAAAUAUAGAUUGCUUCUGUAGUGGGACAACAGCGGUUACUCUGGUCAAGCAGGUAUGAUCUCAUAAGCAUUCCGAACUUGAUUCAGAUAGGAUUCUCUGACAUGGACUUUAUUUUUCCUAAUAACAAUUGCCUUGGCUGUUUUUAUAUAGGGUCAGGAUCUUGUCAUUGGAAAUGUUGGGGACUCCCGGGCUGUAUUGGGUACCAGAGAUAAGGACGGUUAUCUUGUUGCCAUUCAGUUGACCGUCGAUCUCAAACCAAAUCUUCCAGGUUUCUCUCUUUCUCUCUCUCUGUUUGUGUGUAUAAAAUCCAAUUUCACUCCCACUAAAAUGCUUGCAACUGUUUAUUUAUUUAUUUUUUUAACUUUAAAGAUUAGUAAGUAGUGAGCUGCUCAAAACCAGUAUAGGUAAUUGGUGAUUGAAAACACAGCCAUAUUUCCUUUCAUAUGAAAACAUAGCCUGGUUGCUUCUGAGAAAAGGACAAAAAGAAAGGUUGUUUCUUUUGCAGAGAAUACAUCCAAAUUGAAUUAUUGGAGUCUGGCUUGGAAGCUUGGUGAGAUUUGGUCAUACUUUGGUUCACAUGUAGCACAUGCACAUGUUACUUGUGAACAUACAGAAAGAACAGAGUGGUUGCUCCCUGUUAGGAGAGAAUUUGACCUGACAGCAUUAGAUACAUCAUUCAGCAAUGAGGGUCCGAUCAACUAAAGCAACUAAGUGUUGAAAUAUUUUGAGUUAUACAUCAUCAUGAUGAAAAGGAAUGUGGAAAAUUAUAGGCUGAAUGUACAGAUUGGGAGAAAAAACUCCACAGUAGAGGUUCCUUGUUAAGAAUGUACAGUUUACAUGUUACAGAUACAGCCUAAUAGAGACUUGAAGGUGCAUCAAGAGGAGCUUGGAAUCCAAUAGUUAGAUCAUGUCUGUCAUAGACAAGACACUGCACAUGCUAGUAUAUAAAAGAUAGGGAAAAAAAAAAUCUACUUAUAACCCUGUAUUCUCACCCAGCCAAAUGAUGGUUGUUAUUCAUUUAUUUUUUAUUUGUAAAAGCUAUCCAUUAAUGGUCAGAAAACUCUCUCCUAGUUAUGUAGUUCUUGCAUAAUUCUUUUUGUUCUUUCAUUAUAGGGGAAGCAGAGAGAAUUCGAAGAUUCAAAGGGCGUGUUUUUGCCCUUCAGGAUGAACCUGAGGUUGCCAGAGUCUGGCUGCCAAACAAUGAUUCCCCUGGUCUUGCCAUGGCCCGGGCUUUCGGAGAUUUCUGCCUCAAGGAUUUUGGUCUGAUCUCUGUGCCUGAAAUUUCUUAUCGGCGCCUCUCUGAGAAGGAUGAAUUUGUCGUCUUGGCUACAGAUGGGGUAAAGAAGCAAGGCAUUUAGUUUGCUGAGUGGAUUUAUCAUUUCUGUUCAGGACUAAAGUUUACAUGAAUAUUUAUUCACAGGUCUGGGAUGUGCUCUCCAACAAAGAAGUGGUAGACAUUGUAGCUUCGGCCUCAUCGCGUUCCACUGCAGCUCGAACCCUGGUUGAGACUGCAGUAAGAGCUUGGAGGCUCAAAUACCCAACUUCCAAAGUUGAUGACUGUGCUGUAGUUUGCCUCUUCCUCAAUUCCAACACAAACAAUUUUUCUACUGCUUCCACCAAAUCCAAAGAGCAGGUGACACCAUUGGAACAAACGGACGCUGGCAUUGAGAAAGAUCUCUUAGGCCCGACUGGAUUGGACCGCUCAGGAACUGUUCGAACGGGCAAAGAGAUCCAUCCAGAAGAUAGCCAAGAGGAAGCAUCAAAGCAGGAAGAGUUUCAUACGGAGUCAGGCAUAGAAUGGUCUGCUCUUGAGGGAGUGUCUCGGGUAAACACCCUUCUGACUCUGCCAAGGUUUGUGCCUGGAAAAGAUGACAAAAAAGUCUCUGGAAAAACCUCCUAAAUAAUCCCAAGGGAGAGGAAGGGAUUAGUUUGGCUUUGAUUGAUUUUCUUCAUUGUUGAUUUUUUUUCAUCG
rnacentral:lncRNA from 1 species